UGAUCGAACGACUGGAUUUGAUCAUAUCAUGCGACUCAAAUUAAUUCUCAAAAUAAAAGAGAUCCAACAGCUGAGGAUAGGCCACGUCGCCUCGAACGGACGACCCAGAUUUAAUGAAAAUGAGUAUUUAAACUCUAAUCGACAGAAGGGUGAUUAGAGAAGAAGAAGAGAGGCGGUCAGAAAGUGAACCAGACACUAGAGAAUGAGACUAGCCACUAUCGCCGCCACACCAGAUCCACUACUGACGCCAAAAAGGUAAGAUUUUUUCUCUUUUCGCUCGAAAUUGAAUCUUGAACCUUCCCAUGCCCAUAUUGGAGUCAAAAGAUUGAUGGGUGAGCUGAAAAACGCGAGCAGAGCUCUACCGAGUUGCCACGGUCAAAACCCAAAACCUCCUCUGAUGAGACCCUUCCUGUUUCCUAUUUUC
rnacentral:lncRNA from 1 species